UACGGGGGGAGCAAGCGUUAAUCGGAAUUACUGGGCGUAAAGCGUGCGCAGGCGGUUGUGCAAGACCGAUGUGAAAUCCCCGGGCUCAACCUGGGAAUGGCAUUGGUGACUGCACGGCUAGAGUGUGUCAGAGGGGGGUAGAAUCCACGUGUAGCAGUGAAAUGCGUAGAGAUGUGGAGGAAUACCGAUGGCGAAGGCAGCCCCCUGGGAUAACACUGACGCUCAUGCACGAAAGCGUGGGGAGCAAACAGG
rnacentral:rRNA from 1 species